rnacentral:rRNA from 1 species
UACGGAGGGGGCUAGCGUUGUUCGGAAUUACUGGGCGUAAAGGGCUCGUAGGCGGCCAACUAAGUCAGACGUGAAAUCCCUCGGCUUAACCGGGGAACUGCGUCUGAUACUGGAUGGCUUGAGUUUGGGAGAGGGAUGCGGAAUUCCAGGUGUAGCGGUGAAAUGCGUAGAUAUCUGGAGGAACACCGGUGGCGAAGGCGGCAUCCUGGACCAACACUGACGCUGAGACGCGAAAGCGUGGGGAGCGAACAGG